rnacentral:rRNA from 1 species
UGCUGGGGGGUGCUAUACAUGCAGUCGAGCGGAUCGAUGGGAGCUUGCUCCCUGAGAUCAGCGGCGGACGGGUGAGUAACACGUGGGUAACCUGCCUGUAAGACUGGGAUAACUCCGGGAAACCGGGGCUAAUACCGGAUAACACCUACCCCCGCAUGGGGGAAGGUUGAAAGGUGGCUUCGGCUAUCACUUACAGAUGGACCCGCGGCGCAUUAGCUAGUUGGUGAGGUAAUGGCUCACCAAGGCGACGAUGCGUAGCCGACCUGAGAGGGUGAUCGGCCACACUGGGACUGAGACACGGCCCAGACUCCUACGGGAGGCAGCAGUAGGGAAUCUUCCGCAAUGGACGAAAGUCUGACGGAGCAACGCCGCGUGAGUGAAGAAGGUUUUCGGAUCGUAAAACUCUGUUGUUAGGGAAGAACAAGUGCCGUUCGAAUAGGGCGGCGCCUUGACGGUACCUAACCAGAAAGCCACGGCUAACUACGUGCCAGCAGCCGCGGUAAU